GAUUAGAUACCCUAUUAUUUUAAAUGUAAAUUAUUAUACUAAAGUAGUAAUAGUUAUGUUCUUUAAAUUUAAAGAUUUUGGCGGUAUUUUAGUCUAUUCAGAGGAACCUGUUCUGUAAUUGAUAUUCCACGAUUAACAUUACUUGAUUUAAUAAUUUGUAUAUCGUCGUUUAUAAAUGAUUUUAAAAGAAUUUAAAUUUUUAAGAUUUUUUAUUAAAAAGUAUAUCAGAUCAAGGUGCAGUUUAUAGUUUAGUAGAAAUGGGUUACAAUAAAUUUAUUUAUAUGGAUUGAUAUAUAAAAUUAUGUUAUAAAGGAGGAUUUGAUAGUAAUAAAAUUAAUUUAAAUUUUAUGAUUUUAGCUCUAAAAUAUGUACACAUCGCCCGU
rnacentral:rRNA from 1 species